GAUGAACGCUGGCGGCGUGCUUAACACAUGCAAGUCGAACGAUGAAGCCCAUCUUGCUGGGUGGAUUAGUGGCGAACGGGCGAAUAACACGUGAGUAACCUGCCCUUGACUCUGGGAUAAGCGCUGGAAACGGCGUCUAAUCCCGGAUACCAGCUUCCACCGCAGGGUGAGUUGCUGGAAAGAAUUUCGGUCAAGGAUGGACUCGCGGCCUAUCAGGUAGUUGGUGAGGUAACGGCUCACCAAGCCGACGACGGGUAGCCGGCCUGAGAGGGUGACCGGCCACACUGGGACUGAGACACGGCCCAGACUGCUACGGGAGGCAGCAGUGGGGAAUAUUGCACAAUGGGCGCAAGCCUGAUGCAGCAACGCCGCGUGAGGGACGAAGGCCUUCGGGUCGUAAACAUCUUUUAGCAGGGAAGAAGCGAAAGUGACGGUACCUGCAGAAAAAGCACCGGCUAACUACGUG
rnacentral:rRNA from 1 species